rnacentral:lncRNA from 1 species
AUUUUGGCGAAGGGUCUGGGGGCCGCUCAAGGCCACCAGAAGCUCUGAGAAAAAUAACCCAAAAUCAUGCAUUCUGAGCGUUCCACGGACUCUUUCUUACAUUUAAACGCAAAUAAUCUUUAGCUAUUUUUUCGACAAUAUUCUGGUCUCAAAGCAAAAACACAGAUUUAUUGUAAUUUAAGACUUUUAGGUUUAAGGGGCA